rnacentral:lncRNA from 1 species
CUCCAGCCAGACAGGUGGGACAGGGCUCAGUCACCACACAGAUUCUUUACGUUAUAUAGGUGGAACCUAGUGGUCCGGCCUGGUGCCAGUCUGUUUCUCCUCUCUCGUCAACUAACUUCCUAGUGGUCCGGCCUGGUGCCAGUCUGUUUCUCCUCUCUCGUCAACUAACUUCCUAGUGGUCCGGCCUGGUGCCAGUCUGUUUCUCUCGUCAACUAACUUCCUAGUGGUCCGGCCUGGUGCCAGUCUGUUUUCUCUCGUCAACUAACUUCCUAGUGGUCCGGCCUGGUGCCAGUCUGUUUCUCUCCAUCAACUAACUUCCUAGUGGUCCGGCCUGGUGCCAGUCUGUUUUCUCUGUCAACUAACUUCCUAGUGGUCCGGCCUGGUGCCAGUCUGUUUCUCUCGUCAACUAAACUUCCUAGUGGUCCGGCCUGGUGCCAGUCUGUUUUCUCUCAUCAACUUAACUUCCUAGUGGUCCGGCCUGGUGCCAGUCUGUUUCUCUCGUCAACUAACUUCCUAGUGGUCCGGCCUGGUGCCAGUCUGUUUUCUCUCAUCAACUAACUUCCUAGUGGUCCGGCCUGGUGCCAGUCUGUUUUCUCUCGUCAACUAACUUCCUAGUGGUCCGGCCUGGUGCCAGUCUGUUUCUCUCAUCAACUAACUUCUCUAGUGGUCCGGCCUGGUGCCAGUCUGUUUCUCUCAUCAAACUAACUUCCUAGUGGUCCGGCCUGGUGCCAGUCUGUUUCUCCUCGUCAACUAACUUCUUUAGUGGUCCGGCCUGGUGCCAGUCUGUUUCUCUCGUCAACUAACUUCCUAGUGGUCCGGCCUGGUGCCAGUCUGUUUCUCCUCUCUCGUCAACUAACUUCCUAGUGGUCCGGCCUGGUGCCAGUCUGUUUCUCCUCUCUCGUCAACUAACUUCCUAGUGGUCCGGCCUGGUGCCAGUCUGUUUCUCUCGUCAACUAACUUCCUAGUGGUCCGGCCUGGUGCCAGUCUGUUUCUCUCGUCAACUAACUUCCUAGUGGUCCGGCCUGGUGCCAGUCUGUUUUUCUUCGUUCGUCAACCUAACUUCCUAGUGGUCCGGCCUGGUGCCAGUCUGUUUCUCUCGUCAACUAACUUAUUGAAUCAUCAUACCAAAACAUGUUUGGCUUUUACAAUGAUAGAAAUGGAGACGGGGAGAGCACAAACUGAUCUUGGACCAGGUUAUGGUUUAAAUCAGUUCCUGAAGAACUUCAUAUGAAUACUGUACAGAGGCAUGUCAGCACAUUAACAGCACGUGGUAAGGAGGGGGGGGCCUUGCAGUAUCUGUGGCAGCACAUUAACAGCACGUGGUAAGGAGGGGGGGGGCCUUGCAGUAUCUGUGGCAAGCACUUAACAGCACGUGGUAAGGAGGGGGGGGGCCUUGCAGUAUCUGUGGCAGCACAUAACAGCACGUGGUAAGGAGGGGGGGGGGCCUUGCAGUAUUUGCAGCACAUUAACAGCACGUGGUCAGGAGGGGGGGGGGGCCUGCAGUAUCUGUGGCAGCACAUUAACAGCACGUGGUAAGGAGGGGGGGGGGGCCUUGCACGUAAUCUGUGGCAGCACUUCACAGCACGUGGUAAGGAGGGGGGGGGGGCCUUGCAGUAUCUGUGGCAGACAUUAACAGCACGGCUGGAGGAGGGGGGGGGGGGCUUGCAGUAUCUGUGGCAGCACAUUAACAGCACGUGGUAAGGAGGGGGGGGGCCUUGCAGUAUCUGUGGGCAGCACAUUAACAGCACGUGGUAAGGAGGGGGGGGGGGGGCCUUGCAGUAUCUGUGGCAGCACAUUAACAGCACGUGGUAAGGAGGGGGGGGGGCCUUGCAGUAUCUGUGGCAGCACUUAACAGCAGUGGUAUAGGAGGGGGGGGGGCCUUGCAGUAUCUGUGGCAGCACAUUAACAGCACGUGGUAAGGAGGGGGGGCUUGCAGUAUCUGUGGCAGCACAUUCACAGCACGUGGUAAGGAGGGGGGGGGGGCUUUGCAGUAUCUGUGGCAGCACAUUACAGCACGUGGUAAGGAGGGGGGGGGGGCCUGCAGAUCUGUGCAGACUACUCACUGGUAAGAGGGGGGUGCUGCGAUCUAUGCAUCAGCAAAGGCAGCAGACUCAUGUUUAGUUGUCGUUCUUUUAGCUGCAAAGUCAAGCUUUCCUCUGAUACGGAUCACAAAAAUCAGAGCUCUGUGAGUCAACCCUUUCCUCUGAUACGGAUCACAAAAAUCAGAGCUUCGUGAGUCACCCUUUCCUCUGAUCGGAUCACAAAAAUCAGAGCUCUGUGAGUCAACCCCUUUCCUCUGAUACGGAUCACAAAAAUCAGGCUCUGUGAGUCAACCCUUUUCCUCUGAUACGGAUCACAAAAAUCAGAGCUCUGUGAGUCAACCCUUUCCUCUGAUACUGACCACAGGUGUGUGGUAGAGAGAUCUCAACACAGAAAGUGUUAUCAAUAGCUUUAAGACAUGCACAAUGAUGCACAGAUGACUGACUUUCAUGCACACAAGCAAAGCCAGGGCACGACAAAAACACACUGAGCUGGCAUCUGACUAGGCAGCAUGCUGACCUUGAAGCUGGCAUCUGGACCUAGGCUGGCAUCUGAACCUAGGCAGGCAUCUGGACCUAGACUGGCAUCUGGACCUGGCUGGCAUCUGAACCUAGCUGGCAUCUGGACCUAGGCUGGCAUCUGAACCUAGGCAGGCAUCUGGACCUAGGCUGGCAUCUGGACCUAGGCUGGCAUCUGGACCUAGACGGCAUUGGACCUAGGCUGGCAUCUGAACCUAGACUGGCAUCUGGACUAGGCUGGCAUCUGAACCUAGGCAGGCAAUUGGACCUAGGCUGAUUGGCCUAGGCUGGCAUCUGGACCUAGGCUGGCAUCUGGCAUCGGCUAGGCUGGCAUCUGGACCUAGGCUGGCAUCUGGACCAGGCUUGGCAUCUGCCUAGGCGUGCUACUCUGGACCUAGGCUGCAUCUGGACUAGACUGGCAUCUGGACCUAGGCUGGCAUCUGGACCUAGGUCUGGCAUCUGGACCUAGACUGGCAUCUGGACGUUGACUGGCAUAUGAACGUUGACUGGCAUCUGGACCUAUAACUGGCUCUGAACCUAGGCUGGCAUCUGAACUAGGCUGGCAUCUGAACCUAGGCUGGCAUGUGGGCUAGGCUGGCAUGCUGGACUAGGCUGGCAUUGGCCUAAACUGGCAUCUGGACACAGCUCCUCCCUCUGUCAUUAUAUAGUGCACUACUUUUGACCAGGACCCAUAGGCCUCUAGUAGUGCACUAUAUAGGGAAUAGCUGAUAGACUGGUAGACUGAAUAGACUGGUAGACUGAUAUAUUGAUAGCUAGCAGGCUUCGGAGAAGGGUUGAUGUGAACUAAUUUUCACACAGAAUCAAUUAGAGGGAGGUUACACUGAAAUUCAACAGAAAUCCUCAUUCAGCUGAAAAUAAAAACAUCUCUUUCUGUCCUCAUUGAUUUCCUCAAAUUAAACUAGAGUCCAGUUGAAAUGACGUUGAGCCCGAUCCGGGAGUGGAACAUCGAUCCAAUCAGACCGGUCCAACUAAUGGUCCUAAGAAUUCCUUCAUUAUAUUGGUGGGUAUGAAACUACUUACUGAGAAGACAAAACGGCAAUCGGAUUUCUAGAAGUUCUUUAGUAGACUUGUAGACUUUAGUAGACUAUAUUUAGAUUAGUAGACUAGUA